CGACAAGAUGUCUCAUAGGAAGUUCUCAGCUCCCAGACACGGGUCUUUGGGCUUCUUGCCUCGAAAGCGCAGCAGCAGGCAUUGUGGGAAGGUGAAGAGCUUCCCCAAGGAUGAUCCGUCCAAGCCUGUCCACCUCACAGCCUUCCUGGGAUACAAGGCUGGCAUGACCCACACUGUGCGGGAAGUCGAUAGGCCAGGUUCAAAGGUGAACAAGAAGGAAGUUGCGGAGGCUGUGACCAUUGUGGAGACGCCACCUGAUGGAGAUCCAGGUGAACGGAGGCACCGUGGCCGAGAAACUGGAUUGGGCCCGGGAGAGGCUGGAACAGCAGGUCCCCGUGAACCAAGUGUUUGGACAGGAUGAGAUGAUCGACGUCAUCAGGGUGACCAAGGGCAAAGGCUACAAAGGGGUUACCAGUUGUUGGCAUACCAAGAAACUGUCCCGCAAGACCCACCGAGGGCUGUGUAAGGUUGCCUGUAUCGGGGCAUGGCAUCCUGCCCAAGUGGCUUUCUCUGUGGCACGGGCUGGGCAGAAAGGCUACCAUCACCGCACAGAGAUCAACAAGAAGAUCUAUAAGAUCGGCCAGGGCUACCUUAUCAAGGAUGGCAAACUGAUCAAGAACAAUGCCUCUACCGAUUACGACCUGUCUGACAAGAGCACCAACCCCCUGGGUGGUUUUGUCCACUAUGGUGAAGUGACCAAUGACUUUGUGAUGCUGAAAGGUUGUGGGUUGUGAGCGAGUGCUCACCCUCUGCAGGUCCUUGUUGGUGCAGACCAAACACCAGGCUCUGGAGAAAAUUGACCUUAAAUUCAUCGACACCACCUCCAAGUUUGGCCACGGCCGCUUCCAGACUAUGGAGGAGGAGAAGGCGUUCAUGGGACCACUUAAGAAGGACCGAAUUGCCAAGGAAGAAGGAGCUUAAUGUCAGGAACAGAUCAUACAGCUGGUGGGAUCUCAAUAAAAGUUGUUUUCCAGUG